rnacentral:rRNA from 1 species
GCAAGUUGCGCCCGAAGCCACUAGGCCGAGGGCACGUCUGCCUGGGCGUCA